AUGCAAGUCGAGCGGUAGCACAGAGAGCUUGCUCUCGGGUGACGAGCGGCGGACGGGUGAGUAAUGUCUGGGAAACUGCCUGAUGGAGGGGGAUAACUACUGGAAACGGUAGCUAAUACCGCAUAAUGUCGCAAGACCAAAGUGGGGGACCUUCGGGCCUCAUGCCAUCAGAUGUGCCCAGAUGGGAUUAGCUAGUAGGUGGGGUAACGGCUCACCUAGGCGACGAUCCCUAGCUGGUCUGAGAGGAUGACCAGCCACACUGGAACUGAGACACGGUCCAGACUCCUACGGGAGGCAGCAGUGGGGAAUAUUGCACAAUGGGCGCAAGCCUGAUGCAGCCAUGCCGCGUGUGUGAAGAAGGCCUUCGGGUUGUAAAGCACUUUCAGCGGGGAGGAAGGCGAUAAGGUUAAUAACCUCGUCGAUGACGUACCCGCAGAAGAAGC
rnacentral:rRNA from 1 species